GACAUCGUGCAUUCUUGUGAGCCAAUAGGGGGAGCUCUCACAUAGCUUUUUUUUUUUUUUUUUUUAACAUAUCCCGCAAAUAACAGAAAUUACUGGAUCUUAACUGCAAAAUUGGGAUGGAUUAUUCAAUUACAAUCAGACUCCAGUGCCAGAUGAAGUUAAGGUCUCCAUUUGAUUUGUAUUCAAACUUAUAAGAGUUAAAAGCAGCAGGAAAGGCUUACGGAGAUUAAAAAGCAAGAAACCAUUUCGUUAGGUCUGUGCUUCUGUGGGUUGAACUUGCUACACACACAAACUGACAUGUGCACUUAAAUUAUUAUCGUUCAAUUAUGUAUUUCAGGGGUUGGCA
rnacentral:lncRNA from 1 species